GAACCGUUCAGGGGUAAACCUGAGAAACCCAAAAGAUCGAAUGGGGAGAUUCAUCGUCGGCUUAUCCGGUAUAUGUGCAAGUUGUGAUAUAUAAAUUUUUCGAAAUUUUGUACUCGCUUGUGUCAUUUAAUUGCUGGAUAUUUGUCGGCGUGCACUUCUCCCUUAGUAGGACGUCGCGACCCGUUGGAUGUCAAUCUAUGUCCCAAUUGGUAGCCUUUGAUAAUGUUUUUAUUAAUAUUAUCGAAGACCAUUGGUGUAUUAUACUGAUUGACUGUCCGACGGUAUGCGCAUGGUAUUGAGCCGCAUAAUAUGUGCGUCGAGCGUGUAACAAGUGUGAUCAGUGUCUAACCUUGCAGUAUGGACUUUGUUCCGUCGUGAGGCCUGAUUCGCUGUUGGUUUACAUUGUUCUUCGACUGGCUCAAAAUAUAAAAAAUACCGGUCGGCGACGCUACUGCUUUGGUACUUCAGGA
rnacentral:rRNA from 1 species